rnacentral:rRNA from 2 species
UGUGUUGUUGGGUAGGGGAGCGUUCUGUAAGCCUGUGAAGGUGUGCUGUGAGGCAUGCUGGAGGUAUCAGAAGUGCGAAUGCUGACAUAAGUAACGAUAAAGCGGGUGAAAACCCCGCUCGCCGGAAGACCAAGGGUUCCUGUCCAACGUUAAUCGGGGCAGGGUGAGUCGACCCCUAAGGCGAGGCCGAAAGGCGUAGUCGAUGGGAAACGGGUUAAUAUUCCCGUACUUGGUGUUACUGCGAAGGGGGGACGAAGAAGGCUAGGCCGGCCGGGUGACGGUUAUCCCGGUUUAAGCGUGCAGGUGGGUGGUUUUGGAAAAUCCGGACCGCCGUUAACACUGAGGCGUGAUGACGAGGCGCUACGGCGCUGAAGUGGUUGAUGCCCUGCUUCCAGGAAAAGCCUCUAAGCUCCAGGUAACAUCAAAUCGUACCCCAAACCGACACAGGUGGUCAGGUAGAGAAUACCAAGGCGCUUGAGAGAACUCGGGUGAAGGAACUAGGCAAAAUGGUGCCGUAACUUCGGGAGAAGGCACGCUGACA